rnacentral:tRNA from 1 species
AAUAAGGUGCCUGAAAAAGGGUUACUUUGAUAGAGUAAAUCAUAUGAGUUAAAUCUCAUUCUUAUUA